UGUUUGAUAACGACGUCUGAGCUUCAUCUUCAUCGCCGAAACGCUUCCAGUUACAAAAUCUUUGCAUUAAACCCCUUCUUAAAUCCACAACUAUGGUGCAGGCUUCCAUGCAAAUUUUCUGUGUGACGGUGUAUCUGCGAUUAUAAAAAGAUUAGCCUUUCUCCUCUGAAACCCAUCUUCUCAGUCCGUCAAAAAAAAAACGAAGUCAUCCAUCUUUCUCUCUGAUUCGAAGAUCGCACGCUGCUCCUCCACCGAUUGAGAUGCUGAAGUCGAUGACAAAGAGUGGAACUUGAAUUGAGAUUUGUCGAUUUUCUCAAAUAAUUGCAAAGAAUCACCUUCAGGAAGCGAUCAGACUACUCCGUCUCCUCCAUGAACACACUGGUUGGAGCUGAGGCUAACCACAACUUGAAUAGCCAAGUGAACUCCAUAACCGUGGGAUGCUGGGAGCUCAACACGCUCUUGACCCAUUGACCACAGUGAAGGCAUGCGUGAACAAUGCAGGUAUAGCACUGAUCCAACACGGGUGGCAUCCAAUGUCGUUCAUCACCAUCUCUGGAGAGAUUGACUCUAGGGCGAUUGAGAAGAGUUCUAUGAUCACUGGUUCUUGGUGGUCUCUCUGAGAAAUAUCAUGGCUUAUAAAACUUCUGGGUGGUUGAUGGAAUCAACGAUAUCGAUGUGGAGACAUUGCGGAUAUUGAUGGUUUGAAGAUGCAUUAGUGUGAGCUUUGAUAUGGAGCUUUUUGGAUCAAACUCUUCUGAUGAGCAGCUUACCGGAGUUAGGAUUCUUAGACAAUUUGCAGUCAAUGAAUGGUAUUCGGGUGAGACACUUGAGAAGAUCAUUAUCAACGUCCCUGUUGUUGAAAGGUCGGUGGAGAUGCUGAAGUGAAAAGAUCUGCAAAAAGAAGAGAUUAGGAGAUCAGCUGCUGAUAUACUAUCAAAACUCGCUAGCAAACAGCAGAACUCUUUAAGAGUCGCUGGGAUAUCUGGUGCAAUGGAAACUAUUUUUUCGUUAUUAGAGAGCACGAGAUCAUCAGGUGAAGCGCCUGAUGAGAUUGGAGAGAAAAGUGUUCCGUGACUCUAAUCUACACUAUGACUUCUGUAGAUUCAACAGUUUGGGACUCUUGAUCCUGAAGAAGCUAGCGAAAGAUCAUGAUAACUGUGGAAACCUCGGCAACACAAGGGGUUUUCUCCCGAGGAUUAUUGAUUUCACGCACGUGGACCAAGUUCAAUUGUGGGAUGAGAACGCAGACGUUACCAGGUCACAGGUCCUAGAAACGGUCGUGCAGCUGGUGAAAAUGUUAGUCAGCACGACUGAGAACACAUGGAAGUGUCUCAGGAGGGAGAUCUCAGAGAUUGUUUUUACGGUGAGCAACGGGAGGGAUGUGCUGAGACACGGAAGCUCGAGAGAGAAUUGAUGGAACGGUGGUGUUUUGAAAGAGCUGUUCAACAUUUUCUAACAUAUGGAGACGAUGGGAAUCAGGGAUCUGUGAGGAUCGCUGCAGGAAGACUCGUGGAAGCACUUGAAGUUCCAUCGAUCUGUGUCAAUGUUGCAAGUUUAUAAUAGAGUGGCUAUUCUCAGAUGUUCCAGAUAAAAGAUGGUCAUAUCAGUAAGAAGAAGAAGAAAAAAGACAACUGACAAAUAUUUUACAAACUACAUAUGUAGCUUCGUGUAAAUGUAAUUGAAGGUUAAUAUCAUCAUGUAAGUGCUAAUCCUUUAUCAACCAUAGUUGAGAAAUAAGUAUAAGUUCAUUGAUUGCA